rnacentral:rRNA from 1 species
UGGGGAAUAUUGGACAAUGGCGGGAACUCUGAUCCAGCAAUUCUGUUUGUGUGAAGAAGGUUUUAGGACUGUAAAACACUUUUAGUAGGGAAGAAAAAAAUGACGGUACCUACAGAAGAAGCAACGGCUAAAUACGUGCCAGCAGCCGCGGUAAUACGUAUGUUGCGAGCGUUAUCCGGAAUUAUUGGGCUUAAAGGGCAUCUAGGCGGUAAGACAAGUUGAAGGUGAAAACCUGUGGCUCAACCAUAGGCUUGCCUACAAAACUGUUGAACUAGAGUACUGGAAAGGAGGGUGGAACUACACGAGUAGAGGUGAAAUUCGUAGAUAUGUGUAGGAAUGCCGAUGAUGAAGAUAACUCACUGGACAGAAACUGACGCUGAAGUGCGAAAGCUAGGGGAGCAAACAGG